rnacentral:rRNA from 1 species
CUACGGGAGGCUGCAGUGAGGAAUAUUGCACAAUGGGGGGAACCCUGAUGCAGCAACGCCGCGUGGAGGAUGACGCAUUUCGGUGUGUAAACUCCUUUUAUAUGUCAAGAAAAUGACGGUAGCAUAUGAAUAAGCACCGGCGUAACUCCGUGCCAGCAGCCGCGGUGAUACGGAGGGUGCAAGCGUUACUCGGAAUCACUGGGCGUAAAGGACGCGUAGGCGGGUUGGAAAGUCAGGUGUGAAAUCCUACAGCUUAACUGUAGAACUGCACUUGAAACUUCUAAUCUAGAGUAUGGGAGGGGGAGAUGGAAUUAGUGGUGUAGGGGUAAUAUCCGUAGAUAUCACUAGGAAUACCUAAAGCGAAGGCGAUCUCCUGGAACAUUACUGACGCUAAGGCGUGAAAGCGUGGGGAGCAAACAGGAUUAGAUACCCUAGUAGUC